UACGUAGGGUGCAAGCGUUGUCCGGAAUUAUUGGGCGUAAAGAGCUCGUAGGCGGUCUGUCGCGUCUGCUGUGAAAACUCGGGGCUUAACCCCGGGCCUGCAGUGGGUACGGGCAGACUAGAGUGCGGUAGGGGAGACUGGAAUUCCUGGUGUAGCGGUGAAAUGCGUAGAUAUCAGGAGGAACACCGGUGGUGUAAACGGCUCUCUGGACCGUAACUGACGCUGAGGCACGAAAGCGUGGGUAGCAAACAGG
rnacentral:rRNA from 1 species